rnacentral:tRNA from 1 species
UUUAAAUAGUUUAAUAAAAUAAUGAUUUGUGGAUUCAUAGAUGCUUUAUAGCUUUAAAUUU